rnacentral:rRNA from 1 species
GAUGAACGCUGGCGGCGUGCCUAAUACAUGCAAGUCGAGCGAACAGACGAGGAGCUUGCUCCUCUGACGUUAGCGGCGGACGGGUGAGUAACACGUGGAUAACCUACCUAUAAGACUGGGAUAACUUCGGGAAACCGGAGCUAAUACCGGAUAAUAUAUUGAACCGCAUGGUUCAAUAGUGAAAGACGGUUUUGCUGUCACUUAUAGAUGGAUCCGCGCCGCAUUAGCUAGUUGGUAAGGUAACGGCUUACCAAGGCGACGAUGCGUAGCCGACCUGAGAGAGUGAUCGGCCACACUGGAACUGAGACACGGUCCAGACUCCUACGGGAGGCAGCAGUAGGGAAUCUUCCGCAAUGGGCGAAAGCUUGACGGAGCAACGCCGCGUGAGUGAUGAAGGUCUUCGGAUCGUAAAACUCUGUUAUUAGGGAAGAACAAAUGUGUAAGUAACUAUGCACGUCUUGACGGUACCUAAUCAGAAAGCCACGGCUAACUACGUG